UACGGAGGGGGCGAGCGUUAUUCGGAAUUAUUGGGCGUAAAAGGCGCGUAGGCGGCUGUACAAGUCAAAGGUGAAAUCCCUCGGCUCAACUGAGGAACUGCCUUUGAAACUGUACGGCUUGAGGCCGGGAGGGGGUAGCGGAAUUCCCAGUGUAGCGGUGAAAUGCGUAGAUACUGGGAGGAACACCAGUGGCGAAGGCGGCUACCUGGACCGGUUCUGACGCUGAGGCGCGAAAGCGUGGGUAGCAAACAGG
rnacentral:rRNA from 1 species